rnacentral:lncRNA from 1 species
GAUGACAGAACCAGGGCAUGGGUUGGAAAGGUCUUGAAAGAUGGCAGAACCACGGGAUGGGGUUGGAAAGGUCCUGGAAGAUGACAGAACCACGGGAUAGGUUGGAAAGGUCCUGAAAGAUGGCAGAACCAUGGGAUGAGUUGGAAAGGUCUUGAAAGAUCACAGAACCAUGGGAGUGGUUGGAAAGGUCCUGAAAGAUGACAGAACCACGGGAUGGGUUGGAAAGGUCCUGAAAGAUCACAGAACCACGGGAUGGGUUGGAAAGGUCCUGGAAGAUCACAGAACCACGGGAGUGGUUGGAAAGGUCCUGAAAGAUUGCAGAACCACGGGUUGGAAAGGUUCUGAAAAAAUAGUAGAACCACGGGAGUGGGUUGGAAAGGUCCUGAAAGAUCACAGAAACACGGGAUGGGGUUGGAAAGGUCCUGAAAGAUCACAAAAGUGCAGGAUGGGUUGGAAGGGUCCUGGAAGAUCACAGAAGCACGGGAUGGAUUGGAAAGGUCCUGAAAGAUGGCAGAACCUGGGGAUGGGUUAGAAAGGUCCUGAAAGAUGACAGAACCACGGGUUGGAAAGGUUCCAAAAAAAUAGUAGAACCACGGGAUGGGUUGGAAAGGUCCUGAAAGAUGACAGCAGCGCGGGUCGAGGCGCGGCUUAACGAAGCAUCCCCUAAUUACCCAUCAGGUGCAGAACGUGUCGCAGUCGGUGGAGGUGCUGGACCUGCGCACCGAGCGGGACCUGCAGUACGUGAGGAGCAGCGCCGCCCUGCUGGACGGAAUCGAGGCGCAGCUCAGCGCCGCGCACAGCCUGCGGGGGCUCAGCCCCAAGGGCUUCCAGGUGGGGAGCGGCCCUUAACGAGCUCGGCUUCGUUAAGGCCCGGCCGCUCAUUAAGUCCUAGUCAGGGGUCUUUGCAACGCCUUAAUGUAUCCGGCUUCAUUAAGGUCCUCCCAACCCCUCAUUAAGUCCUGAUUGGGGGGCCUCUGUACCCCUUAAUGAGCUCAGCUUCGUUAAGGUUGUCCUAACCCCGCAUUAAUUCGUCUUUGGGGGUCUCUGCGUCACUUAAUGAGGUCAGCUUCGUUAAGGGCAUCCCAACCCCUCAUUAAUUCCUCUUUGGGGGUCUCUGCAUCCCUUAAUGAGCUCAGCUUCGUUAAGGUUGUCCUAACCCCUCAUUAAUUCGUCUUUGGGGGUCUCUGCGUCACUUAAUGAGAUCAGCUUCGUUAAGGU